UGAGUACGAGCUGCUACGGCAGCGAAGUGGGUGAUGUCAUGCUUCCAAGAAAAGCCCUAUACCCGUUAAGGCAUGAUGGCCUGUACCCGAAACCGACACAGGUGGGGUGGUAGAGAAUACCGAGGGGCGCGAGGUAACUCUCUCUAAGGAACUCGGCAAAAUGGCCCCGUAACUUCGGGAGAAGGGGUGCCACCGCAAGGUGGUCGCAGUGAAGAGGCCCAGGCGACUGUUUACCAAAAACACAGGUCUCCGCUAAGUCGCAAGACGAUGUAUGGGGGCUGACGCCUGCCCAGUGCCGGAAGGUUAAGGAAGCUGGUCAGCGUAAGCGAAGCUAGCGACUGAAGCCCCGGUGAACGGCGGCCGUAACAAUAACGGUCCUAAGGUAGCGAAAUUCCUUGUCGGGUAAGUUCCGACCCGCACGAAAGGCGUAACGAUCUGGGCGCUGUCUCGGAGAGAGGCUCGGCGAAAUAGAAUUGUCUGUGAAGAUGCGGACUACGUGCACCCGGACAGAAAGACCCUAUGAAGCUUUACUGUAGCUUGGUAUUGUGCUCGGGCUCGGAACGCGCAGGAUAGGUGGGAGGCUAUGAACCAUUGCUUGCGGGUGAUGGUGAGCCACUGGUGAGAUACCACUCUUUCCGAGCUAGAGUUCUAACAGCCACCCGUUAUCCGGGGGCUGGACAGUAUCAGGUGGGCAGUUUGGCUGGGGCGGUCGCCUCCUAAAAGGUAACGGAGGCGCGCAAAGGUUUGCUCAGGCUGGUUGGAAAUCAGCCGACGAGUGUAAAAGCAGAAGCAAGCUUGACUGUGAGACCUACAAGUCGAACAGGGAGGAAACUCGGCUUUAGUGAUCCGACGGUUCUGCGUGGAAGGGCCGUCGCUCAACGGAUAAAAGUUACUCUAAGGAUAACAGGCUGAUCUCCCCCAAGAGUUCACAUCGACGGGGAGGUUUGGCACCUCGAUGUCGGCUCAUCGCAACCUGGGGCUGAAGUCGGUCCCAAGGGUUGGGCUGUUCGCCCAUUAAAGCGGUACGCGAGCUGGGUUCAGAACGUCGUGAGACAGUUCGGUCCAUAUCCGGUGCAUGCGCAGGAAUAUUGAGAGGAUUUCUCCCUAGUACGAGAGGACCGGGAGGAACGCACCUCUGGUGUACCAGUUAUCGUGCCAACGGUAAACGCUGGGUAGCCAUGUGCGGAGAGGAUAACCGCUGAAAGCAUCUAAGUGGGAAGCCCACCUCAAGAUGAGUAUUCCCAUGGGGUAACCCAGUAAGGUCACGGGAAGAACACCCGUUGAUAGGCUCUACGUGGAAGCGCAGUAAUGUGUGAAGCGGAGGAGUACUAAUAGACCGAGGGCUUG
rnacentral:rRNA from 1 species